AUUUAAUUAAAUUAUUGUAAACAAUGUACAAGAUUGGGUAUAAAAAAUGUAAAAAAAGGGUUGAUAAAACAAGCAAAGUUAGAAGAAGCAACACCAGAGGCGCUGCUGAAGAAAAAUUAUUUGUCGUCUGCUAAGUAAAAUUUGUACAACUUUUUACAAAGCAUCACAAAGUUUGUUACUAAUUUUA